UACGGGGGGGGCAAGCGUUGUUCGGAAUUACUGGGCGUAAAGGGCUCGUAGGCGGCCAACUAAGUCAGACGUGAAAUCCCUCGGCUUAACCGGGGAACUGCGUCUGAUACUGGAUGGCUUGAGUUUGGGAGAGGGAUGCGGAAUUCCAGGUGUAGCGGUGAAAUGCGUAGAUAUCUGGAGGAACACCGGUGGCGAAGGCGGCAUCCUGGACCGGCAUUGACGCUGAUGAGCGAAAGCCAGGGGAGCAAACGGG
rnacentral:rRNA from 1 species